rnacentral:tRNA from 1 species
GGAGAGAUGGCUCAGUGGUUAGGAGCACUGACUGCUUUUCCAGAGGUCCUGGGUUCAGUUCCCAUGUGGUUACA